UCCAGUCAUCUUCUCCAACAACGAACCCUAAUCCCGCCGCCACCAAACCCCACCGCCCUAGGGUGGCGCCGACGCCUCCAAUCACCACCAAAAUUACACCCUUCGUCUUUCUCACUCUCCUCUUCCAAUCUAUGGCAAGGAUUUCUUUCGAAUCAAACCCUAGCUGUUCGAAUAUGUGGUCGAAAGUUUUUCCCAAUACACAAAAGUGUCCAGACAAGCUGAGAUUGAUGCCAGGCAGUCUCGUCGUCCUCUUAUUCAUAAAUCUAGGGUCAGUUUCCGUCAAAUAUCUCCAGGCCAUCCCCAAAUUUAAAUCUAGGGUUCAAGCUUUUCUGCCAUUUGAGAGCUUCAUUUGCGAAUGAUUUUGCUUAAUAUAAUGAAUUUAUUUCGACCGAGGUAAACCCCUAAUAUUAGUCAAAGUUCGUUCCCUGAAAUCCUAUGUGCAUGGAUUUGUUUUAGUAAGUGACCUUCUCACUUCUUCCUAGUUUUUUAGUUCGACUCAUGUUUUAUCUCGUAAUUAAUUGUAGUUUUAGUUUCUGAAUAAGUUUAAUUAGUAAUUCGCUUGCAAGUUUCUGACAAAUUCAGAUUAUUAGUCAUUCAUUGGGAAAUUCAUGCUUAUGAUUAAUUGUUAGCUCAUGUUUCUAAACUUGUUUGAUUUUCGUCCUGUUUUAGUUUAGUCAAUCGUUAGUAAAUUGGUUGUGUUAAUUCAGUUCUAGUGCAAGUAAAUAGUGUCAGUCAAAUGUUUUUGUGAAAAUUGUUGCUUCUUGAUUAUCAUGAUAUUUUGAUUCUGUGAGUUGUUGGGAAUUUCAGCUGUAGAUUUCAUUUUUGAUUAAUUAGUUUAAUUAGCCAUUCAAAUAGAAGGCAUUAUGUAGAGAUUUGGGAUUUAUUUCUGGGUAGCUGAUUGACCUUUGGUUGAGCAGUAAUUUUAGGAGGUAUAAGGGGUAAUUUGGGCAUGGGAAAAGGGUAUUUUAUUUAGGAAUAGUAUUUUUAAAAUAGGGAAGUGGUAGUAUAGGAAUUGUAAUGGGAAUAGGACCUUCUAGAAUAGACUUUAGUAUAGUAUUUUGCAAAGAAGAGGAACUUACUUGAGUAAAAAGUCAGAAAUGAGAGGAUUAAAAUGAAAAUAAGGAGGGACUAAUAUUGCAAAUUAAAAAUAUGAGGGUCGCCUCAUUUGUGCCUAUAAACGAGCAUUUCCUUUACUUCAUUCACAAGUUGGGCAGCCUAAAAAUCCCCCACAAAUCCCUUUUCAAGUUUCAGACUUGAGAAUCAAAAUCUGAAAAGCCAACUUCAUUUUUAGCUCUUAGUUAUAUCAAAAAUCCAAAAACAAAACAAAAUGUAGUGAAAACUUCAAAUAAAAAUACUCUUACAUUGCAUUUUCUUGUUCAAUUUUGAAUUCAGGGAUUGGUUUUCAUCUCAUCUAGUUCAAUAUUCAUCAGCUCAGGUUUCUGGGAGAUUAGUGAUUGGUUUUCAAGAGGUUUUUGGCUUAUCUGAUUCAGUUCUGAGUAGAUCUGAUGGCUACUGUGUGAAUUUUAUCUUCUAGUUAUUGGUCUACAUUGUUUUUUGGUUUCUGAUCAUUCAAAGUUUUGGAGGUGUUAUUGAAUGAUUUUGAGGGAAUUUGGGGUUCAAGAAGGACUGUUUUAGGCUGUUUUUAUCAUCUAGGAAUUUCAAAAAUGGUUCUAGUCCAGUUUUGAGUUGGUCUGGGUGGUUUCAAAUAGCUUUGGUCUGAUAUCGGGUUCAUUCGGGGAUCAUUGGGAAUUUGUUUGAGUUUGUACGAUUGUGUACUGAAUUGGUCUAUUGCUAUUACUCUAUUUCGGAACAUUUCUGAGUUGUGAAACAUUGCUGGGCUGCUUGUAGUCAUUUGGUUAUUGCUGCUGACCUUAUUUCUCCUUUGUUCACUCUUCCAGGUACAUAUUUCGAGCCCCGUUGAUGUAUCAGUGCUGUUGAAAACAUGAAUAAAUAGAAGUUAUGCUCCUGAUGAUGUUGUCUAGUUUUUUUUCCAGCAUUGUUAAUUAUUACUGGUUUUGCAUUUUUUUAAUCCGAAUUGUAUAAGCAUGAACAUAUAUUGGACUGAUUGAAUACAUCUUGUGAAUGGCUCGAGUCUAGUGUUAAGUAGUUUAACAAAUUCAUGUUAUGUUUGGUUCCUAAUCCUGUAGAUGUUAAUGCUAGGAUGAUUUAGCUAGUAAUUGAAAGUUAAAACAUAUCCAGACAUUGUUGAUUCAAAACUUUUCAAAUCGAAUAAGGAGCAGUCAACUUGUAGGCAAUAUGAUUUCCAUCUAAGUUUCUAGCCCGUGUUCGCUCAUUAAAUUGAUUAGUAGUUGUUUUAGUUAUGAAUUGUUUAGCGGCAUUUGAAUUAAUUUGAAAUAAGAGAAGUCUAAUUAGUCAUGUUUGAUUAAUGGGCUUCAAAGGAUAAAGUUGCUAAGCCUAAUAUCUGUAGUUCGUGAGUUUGGUUGAAAAAUAAGCUUUGGUGCAGUCAACUCAGGGAAUCGACCCCAAGACCUCCUGCUUGAGGUUUGUUGGGUUUAAGCUGAGAAACCGCAUGUCUGUCCAGUUUGGGCCUCAAUCUACGCCCAUAUGUCCUCUCAGCUUGGUCUUUUGGGCCUGCCAUUUGGGCCAAUCUGAAAUUCCAUUCAAGGUUUAAAUAGCAUGAACUUUGGUUUUGAGUUAGGUAACGGGUUUUAAAUUAAAGGUUCAUCAUUUUAUUUGGACCCGGACUUGAACUUGAAGCCCAAGAUUUAAUAAUAAUUUAAUUAGGACUUUCUUCUUUUCUUUUAGAGACAAAAAUCAAAAAAUAGAAAAAUCAUAGUCGAUUUUUUAGGCUUGCCUUUUAAAAUGAAAUGAGAUGAGGCUCGCCCAAUAAAAGUGCCAAAAUGCGGGGCCCUCAAAAAAGGUUUUAAAAAAUAUUUAGAUAAUCGGAAGGGCUAUUUAGCAAAUUUCAUGACCCUCCCAAAAAAUUACAACGCGUUAGACCCCAUUAAGCGUGAUUUAAAUAAUUUUACCUUCCUAAAUUUGGGUGGGAAUUUAUGCGGCCCAAAUCCAAAUCCUAAAAUGUUAAAUAGAGUGUGUCUAGGAUUGCGGGUUCAGUUGAUGCGGCGCAAUCCGAAAACACAUUUUAAACGACGUUCACUUUCUUAAAGAAAUAAAUAUCAAAAAAGCGCUAAAAAGUAAAAAUUGGUAAUAGGUUCUUCAUGUAAUUAAAUCAGUUAAAAGCUAAAUGCAACAAUGAAGCGACCGUGCUAGAACCACGGAACUCGAAAAUGCCUCACACCUUCUCCCGGGUUAACAGAAUUCCUUAUCCGGAUUUCUGGUUCACAGACUGUAACCGAGUAUUUUCCUCGGUUUCGGAUUCAACCGGUGACUUUGGACACCAUUAAUCUCCCAAGUGGCGACUCUUUAUAAAUGAUAAUAAAUCCCGUUCCGAUAGUCCUUUAAGUGAGAAAACUGCUUUACGCCCCUUUGCGGGGGUGUACAACAAAAAAGGAGGCGUGACAGUUAUGAUGACUCUGUUGGGGACAAGAACCCAGAAUCUCUGGUUCAGGGUUCAGAAUUCGAGGUUAGAAUAAUUGUUGUGUUUAGUUUUAUCUGAUUUUGCUACAUGUUAUGUGCUUAAUGUGCUAAUUGAUUGCUUUUACCGCUUUGAUAUUACGUGAACUAUAUAUAAACUGUGCCAAACCGAAUCUCCUCUCUGAGUCUUCUGAAUUGGGAAGAAGGGUGUACGGUGUACAAAUUCUUCUCUGUCUAGUAUCAAAAUCCCAAUUUAGAACGAGGUUCGGAUAAGUCGCAAAGCCGGUGAAGCUUCUGUAUUCCCGGAUUGCCACCUCCCCCUCGGCUCGAGCCGUCCGCUCAGGUAAGCUAGGUAUAGAACAAACACCCAGGUUUUGACCCUAGAAUAACUUAACCUCAUGCCGGAUCCGUAGUAGGAACGCUUAUCUGCAUCAUGUGCAUUUUGACUUAGGGGACUCAACACAUGGGUUGGGUCCGUCUAGGGCUAGCAACCUGAAAUGAAAAGACCAUCCUGAUGCAUCCUACGUGCUUUUCUGUGCAUUUAUUUGCUCGAUCCUGCAUGUGACCUUCUUUCUAAAUCUCGGGAAGGUUAGAAAAUGAGAAAGGGGGAAAAUAAUGAUUCAGAAAGUUAGCUGAUAAGUUCAGAAAAACCAUUGCCCAAGUAUUGUCGGAGUUCUACCGAAAUUUUGAAGAAAAUAUAAAAAAGAAAAAUAUCUUAUUUUUUAAAUAGUUGUUUCAGAGUCCGUCAUUAUUUUUUAGUUUGUCUUGUUUGGGAAAAUGGAAAAUGAAAAAUAGUUUGUUUUGCCAUAAAAAUGGAAAAACAAAAGGGUUUUUGAUUUUGCUUUCUUGCUUCAAAAUAGUUUAUUUGCCAAUGAAAAUAGGGUAUUUUGUUAAAGAAAAAGAGUCUUUAUUUUUAAUUCGAAAAAUGGUGGUGGAAAAAAGGGUCUUUAUUUUUAAUUUGGAAAAUAGGUUGUUUGUUGAAAUGAAAAGAAAAAUCAUUUUUUUGUCUUAUAAUAUAAAAGGAAAAAUAGUUUGUUUUGCUAUGAAAAACGAAAAAAAAACAGAGUGUUUGUUUUAAUCAUGUUUUCGAAAAUGAAAUAAAAGAGAAAAAAUAGUUUGUUUUAAAAUAGUUCGGUUAAUUUGCCCGAACUACGCAUGUUUUGAUUCUCACAGGGCAUGAGAUACGUAGGCGACCUUCAUCGGGUCCAACCCUCCGUUUAUAAAAAUAUCCCAAAAAUGUCAAAAUUUUAAUUUUUGCCACAAAUAAGUCAAGUAAGGCCGCUUUGUCAAAAAUAGCCAAAUGUUCCUAGAUGGGACGCCGGAAGGCUGAAUUUGCGUAAACGGCCUUCUUGAUAAAAUGUGAAUUUUGAUUGGUUGAAUACACAACCUUUAAAUCUUCGUUUCAGAAGUGCUGAAAGGUCGUGUUUGAAAAUAAAGUCUUUUAUUUUCAAAUUUGAAAACACGCAAAAUAGCAUAUAAACAUGUUUUAUCUCUUUUGAGUCAAAUAAAAUUUUUUCUUUUGCCUAAUCACCUUUAUAAAUGUGCAGGAUGAGCACAAAUCAAAUGAAAUCGUUCUUAGUUUUUAGCGAGGUCCCUCUACAGCUCCACAUGUGGUGGAAUGAUCUGGGAGAUGAUAGUAAAAGAUAGUGGAAAGAAUUUUGGGCAAUCUCGUCGAUCUGUUACUUAUCAAGCCAAAGAUGGAUGUCAUUGAAGCUUUAACACCGCUUUGGGAUCCAACCCGUAAUGUAUUCCUUUUUACAGACUUUGAGCUUACACUCACACUAGAGGAAAUUGCGGGUUAUGCAGGUUUGGACGGGAAAUUGAGGGGUCAAUAUUUGCUUUCACCUAGACCGGUGUCUCCGCAUAGGUUUUUGAAUUUGCUACACAUUAAUUGGAAAGUGCAAGAUGAAGAUCUGUCAAAAGGCUGCUGUACUCUCCAAUUCUUAUAUCAACGGUAUGGUACUCCUCGGGGUUUUGAAGAGCCAUAUCUCGGACUAACUCAUGAUAAGGACAGAAACAAAUGGGAGUCAAGACGUCCUUUAGCUUUCCUGACAGCCUUCAUGGGAAUCAUGGUUUCUCCACGCAAAAAUAAGAAAAUUGAUAUAGGCCUUGUAGGGAUGGCCGACGUUGCAAUCAAAAGGCCUAACAACACUGUGGUCCCUUUUGUAUUAUCUGAAAUAUACCGAGCCUUAACUGUGUGUCGAGAGGGUGGUGAUUUUUUCCAGGAAUGUAAUAUAUUACUUCAGCUAUGGAUACAGGAACAUCUCUGUCAUCGAGUGGGAUACAUGAACCACGGGCUAACUGGAAGGAACUGCAUCAGUGGCUUUUAGAAACGGGUAGCAGGCGUUGAAUUCCCUGGAGGUGUCGAGGCUUGGUUCGCACGAUUGAGGUCAUUAACAACUAAUCAAGUUGAAUGGGCAUUUGGGUGGUUGCCGGAUACCGAGGUAAUACACAUGGCGGCCGAAGAAUGUCAUCUUCUUUUGAUGGAGGUUCGCACCAUCCAGCCCUACGCUCCUCAUCGAGUAUUACGCUAGCUAGGAAGGUUCCAAACAAUCCCCACUGACGUGGGUUUGAGCAAGCAUGCCAUUGAGUUAAGUCCAGGGGCCUCAUUUCCCGAAAAGGUAGUUCAAAAGCUAUGGAAUGAGUGUAGAUUUCUUGAGUCAAAAACCAUGGUUCAAGAACGAGCUAAAGGAGAAGUAGAUCCGAAGUACGAGCUAAAGGAGAACGAGAUAGGGUCAAAGCCAUUUCUCAUGCCAUUGUGAGAAGAUGCUGGGCGUGUGAACAUAUGACUGUUACUACCUUUGUCCUAGCUGUAGUGGUCUUUGUUAAACGAACUUUGCUUGAAUUAGAGCAUCUUGAACACGAUUUGGAACCCAGGUCCGCGUCGAGGCCGAAUGACGACCCGCAGACACCUAAGUUUGAGUCAUUAGAGUAUGCGUAGGUUGUGUCUGUAUCUUUUUUUUAUUGAGUCCGUUUGUCAGUUGUUUUUCAUGUCAAGAUGAGUCUGUAGUUUGAAGUUGGUACUUGGUCUUAGUUUGUGUCUGUCAUUUCUUUCGCAAAAUGUUUAGUUUGUAAUAGCUUGUGUUUGCAAUUAAAAUUUGAAAAUCCCAAAAAUAUUUUCUUUUUAUUUUUGCAUUUAUUUUCACGAACUACGCUUGGUCUAAUUCAUGUGGGGUCACAAUACGUAGGCCAUCUUCAUAGGAUUCGACCAUAGCCUUAAAUAAAAGAGAAAAAAAGAGAAAAGAAUUGGAGGUAAAAGAAGGGAAAGAAAGAUAAAUGGAAAACAAAGGCGAGAAUAAAAGAAAAAAAGAAAGAAAAGAAGAGCGGGAAAACCAGGGUAAAAAUAAGAGCGGAAAAGAGCAAGAGUGGAAAAACAAAGGUGAGACUAAGAAAGGGAAAGAAAAGAGCAGAAUAGAGUAAGAAAAUGAAAAGGAAUGCCAGGAUGAUACAUGUGGACGAACAAAUGCAUUAUAGAAAUGAUUAACUGUAUAGGUGCAUUCCUGCCAACGUGCAGUUAUCAAAUAUGUUAAAACUAAUCAUUAGCCAAGUGGUUUUUUAAAUGUGUGAGUCCAGGCAUGUGGUUAGUUGAUUAGCAAUUCUGGCAACUCACCAUUACAACACCCGGUCGAAGGACAAAAAAAUGACUGGACAUGACUCGGAUACUAGUAUAAUGGACCCUACGAAAGAGGUCGAGGUGAUAGAUGUGGGGGAUAUGAAAGAAGAAAUGAAGAAGUUUAAAGCCCAAAUGAAGGCCAUGCACCGGGCUUGGUCUCAGGGGCACCCAGCACCAUUAUACCAUGCUAACCCCUCUUAUAUCCCGCACCUAGCGCAGGCUCAGGAAUCUUCCACUCCCGAAACAUCUCCCACCCUUCCAGUAUAACACCCAAGGGUAUGCCACUACUUCAUAUGCUCCACCGGCUCCACCANNNNNNNNNNNNNNNNNNNNNNNNNNNCAAGGCGAGUCCAAAAGACAACUUUCCAUUGCCAAACAUCCACAUAUUGAUCGACAAUUGUGCCAAACAUGAGAUUGGUUCUUUUGUGGAUUGAUAUGUGGAUUUCAAACAAAAUCCUCCUCUGCCAGUGGCCCACUCCUCCAGUUCCAUUGCAAAGGUCCUCUAGUGAACCACUAUUCCAAGCCCAUGACGCCCAAUAUUACCCGCCUGAGCCCACCUUUAAGGCUCCUGACCGUGCUCAUAUACCCCUCACUUUGAGAUCCCAGAAGAAGUCCAAAAACCAGUUAAAAAUUCAGAGCAUGAGCAAGUGAUCAGAAAAUUCAAAAGCCUGGAGCAAUCCUUCAGGAACCUUUGAGAUCCUAGAAGAAGUCCAGAAACCAGUUAAGAAAACAGAGCAUGAGGAAGUGAUCAGAAGAUUCAAAAUCCUGGAGCAAUCCUUCAGGAACAUGCACGGAUUGGGCAGUCAGGUCAGUGUUGCCUAUAAGGAUUUAUGCCCUUUUCCGGAUGUCCAGUUGCCCACGGGAUUCAAGAUUCUUAAAUUUGACCUGUACGAGGGACAAUGUGACCCGGUACCUUACCUCCGAGGAUUCUGAAGUAAGAUGAAGAGGUGCUGGGGGAAAAUUGAAUUACUGAUAGCCUACUUUGGUCAGCCUGAGCGGGUAUGCAUUGGAAUGGUACACCAGACAGGACCCUAGUCGAUGGUACACCUGGAAUGAUCUGGCACAAGCGUUCAUUGUCCAUUUCCAAUAAUACCUCGAGAUAGUCCCUGAUCGUCUAUCAUUGUUGAAUUUUGAGAAGAAGCCGGGAGAAAGCUUUAGAGAAUUUGUGUUCAGAUCGAGAGAGCAAGCUGGCAGAGUGGAUCUCUCAAUGAGAGAAAAUGAGAUGGUAGAUUAUUUUUUGCAAACGUUGGAGCCGACAUGCUUCGGUCACCUAGUGGAUUUCUGUGGGUAAAUCAUUCAAUGAGGUAGUGAAGAUGGGCGCCAUGAUUGAAGAGGGUUUAAAGUCCAACAAAAUGUUGAGUUAUUCAGCACUGAAAGCAACAACGCAGGCUAUACAAAGCGGCACUGGGGUGUGCUAGGUAAGAAGAAGAACGAAAAAAUGGCCACCUUGAGUUAUUCAACACUGAAAGCAACCACGCAGGCUAUACAAAGCGGCACUGGUGGUGUGCUAGGUAAGAAGAAGAAGGAAGAAGUGGCCAUAGUGGAAGCUAGCACCUAGUCGAGGCCCAGCAAUCCCCCACCCUACUAUAGCCAACCAAGACCCCACCACCCAAACUAUCCAUAUACUCCAUAUGGCCCACAACAACACUACUACCCUCCACCAGAACCACACUUCUCUGUCCACCAUGCCCAAACAUAUACGCAGCCUCCGGCACAUCCACAAUGGCGUGCGCUGGCUUCCCAAAACACAUAUACACCCCCACAAAACACCCAUCCACACCCCAGGGCUAACAAACCAGGACUCGGCUUCUGCCCGAACUAAAAUGUUCGAAAUAAGAGGGCCCCAAACAAAAGAACUUUUACCCUAUUGGGAGAAUCUUACACCGCUUUAUUCCAUAGACUGAAGCAGUUGGGAAUGUUAACCCUAAUCGAGCCCAAAGUACCAAACCCACCUCCCAGAAACCUGGACCAGUCCGUCAGCUGUGAGUAUUGCUCAGGAAUGCAUGGGCAUGAGACUGAAAAAUGUUGGAAGUUGAAGAAUGCAAUAAAAGAUCUCAUUGACAACUGCCGUAUUGAAGUGCAGGCUCGGAGGCGCCAAAAAUCAAUCUGAACCCACUAGGAAUGCCUGGGCAUGAGACUGAAAAAUGUUGGAAGUUGAAGAAUGCAGUACAUGAGCUCAUUGGCAGCCGCCAUAUUAAAUGCAGGCCGCAGAGGCGCCAAACAUUAAUCAGAACCCACUGCCAGCACAUCACGAUACCAACAUGAUUGAGUUGGUGCACAAGGAUGGGGAGGUGAAGAAACCCUCAAAAACCAUAGUGAUGAUUCGUGCUGUUGAGACCAGUUCAAAUGAGAAGCCGACCGAGGAACAGGCAGGGGUGAAGUUGAAAGAUACAAGUGACAAGCCAGUGAUGGGGAAAGAAUUAUCUGUUAUUGCAAAGAAACCAGAACUAAUUAAGUUGGUGUACCAGGACGUCACCCGCGCCCGUGGUUGUUGUGAAGGGUGCUUACAUAGAGCCAGUGAUCAUCAACCCAGUAGUCCAGCUACCCAUGGUUGACAGCAAAGCUGUGCCUUGGAAAUAUGAGAAGGUGAUAGUAACGUGCAAAGGAAAAGCGAUCUAGGGGGAGAGCUGUGAGGCGCAAGGGUUGACUCGAUCAGGGCAUUGCUUCGCUCCUGAGGAGUUGAGAAAGGCUAGGGCUACUAAAGACAGUCCAGCGUUGGUGAAAAAGGCUGUUGCAGAGGAGGAAGCAAAGGAGUUUCUAAAAAAGAUGAAGGUACAAGACUAUUCUAUUGUCGAGCAGCUGAGGAAAACACCGGCCUAGAUUUUGAUAUUGUCAUUGUUGAUACACUUUAUUGAACAUCGCCGAGCUUUGAUGAAAAUAUUAAAUAAAGCCCAUGUACCUGAUAAGAUUUCAGUGACCUACUUGGAGACAAUUGCUAGUAGGAUCUUUGAGGUAAACAGGAAAACGUUUUCGGAUGAUAAGUUGCCCGUGGAAGGAACAAAGCAUAAUAAAGCCCUUUACUUGACAGUCAAAUGUGAAGAUUCAGUGGUGACCAGAGCAUUGGUAGAUAAUUGGUCUAGUGCAAAUAUUUGCCCGAUAUCGACAUUGAACAAGCUAAAGAUCGAUAAUGACAGAAUACGCAGAAAUAGUGUGUGUGUCCAAGGUUUUGACGGGGGCAGAACAGACACGGUGGGGGACAUUAUCCUCGAGAUAACCAUUGGCCCACUUGAGUUUACCAUUGAGUUUCAAGUGUUGGACGAUGCGGUAUCAUACAAUCUAUUAUUGGGACGAAUAUGGAUCCAUGCGGCCAAAGCAGUGCCUUCCUCGCUGCAUCAAAUGGUCAAAUUUUAAUGGGACCGGCAAGAGGUGGUGCUACAUGGAGAAGACCCCACAAGUGUUGCGGGUGGUGAUAUUGUGCGUUUUGUAGAAACUGAUGACGAUAAAGGGCCAUGGGUCUAUCAGGUUUUUGACAUGAUCACUGUGAACAAAGUACCAGAGGGUAAAAGCAUCCCACGUCCUUGAGUAGCAACUGCAACCGUCAUGGUGGUUUAAGAAAUGAUGGGUAAUGGGUUUGUCCCGGGAAAAGGUCUGGGUGCCAAGCUUCAGGGCAUUGUUUAACCCGUGUCCUUGCCCAAGAAUUUAGAUACUUUCGGGCUGGGAUUCAAGCCAACAACAAUAGAUAUCAGAAGGGUCCGCAAGUUGAAAAAGAAAGCUUGGGUUCUCCCAAAACCAAUUCCACGUCUGUCCAAAUCCUUUGUCAGGUCGAGGGCUGAAAAUCAGUUAGCAACGUAGGUGACAGGUUCAUUAAUUGAAGAGAGGGGAAUCUGGAUGAAGGGUUUGAGAGGGUAUUUGCCGAAGUAAACAUGGUUCGUGCCGGUGAAGGUUCCAGUAAUGCAGACAUUCAGUACGUUGGGCCACAUGCUAGGAUCAAUAAUUGGGAAGCCACUCCUCUGCCAGUUCGGAGGGAGGCGGGGUAGUGGGAAUUUGUUUUUCCUUUUGUUUUCACGUGGAUUAUUCCUGGAUUUGUAAUUCUUGUGACUAUGUUCCGUCGAUUUGGAUGAGCUAAGCCUUGUUAUCUUUACGUUUUAAUGAAAUGCAAUUUCCUUCUUAUUUCCUAAUUUUUUUUCCAUUUUUCUUUUCUUUUCUGUACAGUUCUUUUUAUGCUGAUAUCAAUGACAUGACAUGCAUGAGGACUUGUUGGCGCGGUCUUAUAAGCCAACCUAACUCGGAAAUAAUAAUACAAUAAAUUGAAUGUGAUGAUGAAGAGGAAUAUGAUGAUGAUGAAGCCUAUGAGGAAAUUAGUAAGGAAUUAAAACAUUUUGAAGAAAAACCAAAACCGAACUUAAAUGACACAGAAGUAGUUAACCUAGGGACCAAGAUAAUGUCCAUGAAACUAAAAUAACACUUUGAGGAAGAACCCAAACCGAACUUAAAUGAUAUAGAAGCGUUUAAUUUUGUGGUCCAAGAUAAUGUCCAAGAAACUAAAAUAAUUGUUCAUCUAGAGCUGCAACUCAAGGAAGAAAUACUCGAGGCAUUAUUGGAAUAUAAAGACUCUUUUGCUUGGUCCUAUGAUGAUAUGCCAGGGGUGUGUACUGAUUCAGUGGCUCACAAGCUGCCUACUGAUCCAUCACUCCCACCUAUUAAGCAGAAACUGAGGAAGUUCAAAACAGACAUAAGUGUGAAGAUUAAAGAAGAGAUCACUAAGCAGUUUGAUGCAAAGGUUAUUCGGGUUACCUGGUAUCCCACCUGGUUAGCUAAUAUUGUGCCUGUACCAAAGAAAGAUGGUAAAACCAGGGUGUGCGUGGAUUAUCGAGAUCUCAACAAGGCGAGUCCAAAAGACAACUUUCCAUUGCCAAACAUCCACAUAUUGAUCGACAAUUGUGCCAAACAUGAGAUUGGUUCUUUUGUGGAUUGAUAUGUGGAUUACCAUCAUAUCUUAAUGGACGAGGAGGAUGCAUAGAAGACGACAUCCAUCAUGCCGUAGGGAACAUACUUCUAUUGGGUCAUGCCAUUUGGUUUGAAAAAUGUCGGGGCAACUUACAUGAGGGCCAUGAAAUCGAUCUUCCAUGAUAUGAUACAUAAAGAGAUUGAAGUGUACGUAGAUGAUAUGAUUGUGAAAUCAAGGAAGCAUUCUGAUCAUGUCAGGGAUUUGAGGAAAUUCUUUCAAAGGCUACGCAGGUGCAAUCUAAAGCUCAAUCCUCCAAAGUGCGCUUUCGGGGUGCCAUCUGGAAAGUUUCUACGGUUUGUAGUCAGUCGCUGGGGUAUUGAAUUGGAUCCAUCGAAGAUUAAGGCCAUUCAGGAAUUGCCUCCUCCGAAAAACUAAACCGAUGUGAUGAGUUUGUUGGGAAGAUUAAACUACAUUAUCAAGUUCAUUGCUCAGCUUACAACUACUUGUGAAGCCAUUUUCAAAUUGCUAAAUAAAGAUGCCGUGGUUAGAUGGACGGAUGAAUGUCAGAAAGCUUUUGAUAAGAUUAAGGAAUAUUUGUCAAACCCGCCCGUGUUGGUUUCGCCAGAACUAGGGAGGCCUUUGAUUCUGUAUAUGACAUUCUUGGAUAAUUCAUUUUGCUGCGUACUGGGGCAGCAUGACAUCACAGGAAGGAAGGAGCAGGCGAUCUACUAUCUCAGCAAGAAUUUUACAUCUUACGAGGUUAAGUAUUCUCAUCUUGAGAGGACGUGUUGCGCCCUAACUUGGGUGGCACAGAAGUUGAAACAUUAUUUGUCGUCCUACACUACAUACAUCAUAUCUUGGUUAGAUCCACCGAAGUAUAUUUUCCAGAAGCCUAUGCCCACGGGAAGGCUCACAAAGUGGUAGAUCUUGCUUACAGAGUUUGAUAUUAUCUAUGUGAACCGGACUGCAAUGAAAGCCCAGGCUUUAGCUGAUCACUUGGCUGAGAAUCCGGUUGAUGAUGAUUAUGAGCCUUUGAAAAAUUAUUUCUCCGAUGAAGAGGUAAUGCAUAUAGAUGAGUUGGAAUAGAUAGAGAAACCAGGAUGGAAAUUGUUCUUUGAUGGAGCGGCAAAUAUGAAAGGGGUGGGAAUAGGAGCUGUAAUUAUUUUCAAAAUAGGUCAGGACUAUCCUGUUACGGCUCAGCUACGUUUUUAUUGUACGAAAAACAUGACGGAAUAUGAAGCAUGCAUUUUGGGCUUGAGAUUGGCUAUGGAUAUGGGUGUCCGGGAAAUCUUGGUCAUGGGUGACUCGAACUUACUGGUACAACAAAUUCAGGGAGACUGGAAACCACGAGAUAUUAAAUUAAUACCUUCCGGACAGUGCCUGCAUGAGCUUUGUCAAUGGUUUCAGUCCAUGCAUUGUCAAUGGUUUCAGUCAAUAGAAUUCAGACACAUCCCAAGGAUUCAUAAUGAGGUUGCCGACGCUUUGUCUACUUUGGCGUCAUGUUGCAUCAUCCAGACAAGACUUACGUAGAUCCAUUGCAGAUUCAGGUGUAUGAUCAAAAUACUUAUUGUAAUGUGGUAGAAGAGGAACUUGACGAUGAGCCGUGGUUUCAUGACAUCAUGGAAUACAUCAGGAUGGGAAUAUAUCCAGCACAUGCCACAAGUGAUAAAAAAAGGACUAUUCAUCGAUUGGCAAGCAGAUUUCCUGAGUGGCGGAGUAUUGUACAAAAGAAUGCUAGAUCUCGGAUUAUUGAGGUGCAUGGAUGUGAGGCAAGCCACAACUAUCAUGACUGAGGUACAUUCUGGAGUCUGUGGACCGCACAUGAGCGGAUAUGUUUUUGCAAAAAAGAUUUUGCGGGAAGGGUAUUAUUGGCUUACAAUGGAGCGGGAUUGUAUUAGUUUUGUACGAAAAUGUGAUCAGUUCCAAGUGCAUGGAGAUGGGUAUUAUUGGCUUACAAUGGAGCAGGAUUGUAUCAGCUUUGUACGCAAAUGUCAUCAAUGCCAAGUGCAUGGAGAUUUGAUUCAUUUUCCACCGUCAGAAUUGCAUACGAUGUCAGUUCCAAUGCCUUUUGUUGCUGGGGGCAUGGACGUUAUUGGGCCGAUCGAUCCGGCAGCAUCAAAUGGGCACAAGUUUAUCCUGGUUGCAAUAGAUUAUUUUACCAAGUGGGUGGAAGCGAAGACGUUCAAGUCUGUGACUAAGAAAACUGUGGUGGAUUUUGUGCAUGCGAACAUUAUUUGUCGGUUUGGUAUACCAAAGGUGAUUAUCACGGACAAUGGGGCUAAUCUCAGCAUUCAGUUGAUGAAGGAAACGUGUGAGCAGUUCAAGGUUACUCAUCGUCAUUCCACUCUGUACCUCCCUAAGGCAAAUGGUGCGGUUGAAGCAGCAAACAAGAACAUAAAGAAAAUAUUGCGGAAAUUGGUUGAAGGGUCUAGACAGUGGCAUGAGAAGUUGCCUUUCACAUUGUUGGGAUAUCGCACCACCGUUUGUACUUUGGUGGGGGAAACUCCUUAUUCAUUGGUAUAUGGCACCGAGGCAGUAAUACCCACCGAAGUGGAGAUCCCGUCACUUCGAAUAAUUGCGCAAGCUGAAAUCGACGAUGAUGAAUGGGUAAAGACCCGUCUGGAACAAUUGAGCUUGAUCGAUGAGAAAAGGUUAUCAUCAGUGUGCUAUGGGCAAUUGUACCAACGAAGGAUGGCAAGAGCGUACAAUAAGAAAGUACGUUCGAGGAAAUUCGAAGACGGACAGUUAGUUUUGAGGCGGAUUUUGCCUCAUUGGGCUGAAGCAAAAGGAAAAUUCGCCCCGAACUGGCAGGGGCCAUUUGUAGUAACCAGGGUGUUGUCUAAUGGUGCAUUGUAUUUGACAAAUGCAGAAGGGAAAUGCGUAGAAAUUACCAUCAAUUAUGAUGUUGUCAAGAGAUAUUAUAUAUGAUUUCUUUAUUGUGAAUGUACUUGCUUGUAUUUGGCAUACUUCAAAGAUUGAAAUGAAGAAGGCAUUUUGUGCUGCUAUCCAUAUUAAUUCUGAUGCGGUCAAGAGAUAUUACGUAUGAUUUCUUUAUUCUGAAUCUACUCGCUUGUGUUUGGCAUAUUUUAAAGAUUGAAAUGAAGAAGGCAUUUUGUUCUUCUAUCCAAACACUUUUAUCCUUUGUUACCCCGUUGAGCCUUAAUUAUUUUCGUUCAUACCCCUCUUUCGGAAUAAGCGGCACAAUCAAGAAACGCAGGUGCCGAGCAUAAAGCAAAGAAAAAAAGAAAAUAAAAAUAGAGAAAAAGAAAGGAAAUGAAGAAAAAAAGAAAAAAAAAGAAAAGAAAGGAAAAGAAAAGAAAAAGAAAAGAAAAGAAAUAAACAAAAUGAAAAGAAAAGAAAAGAAAAGAAAAGAAAAGAAAAUGAGAAUAGAAGAAAAGAAAAAUCACAACAAAGGUAAUCAUGAUAAAGUGAACUACGUUUGACUUGAUCCCGAAAAGGUACGUAGGCAGCCUUACUCCAAGGUUCAGUCAUACCAAAAUAAAACUCCAAAAGUCCACAAGCAAAAACUAUGGCAGAAGUUGUGGUUCGUUUUGAGAAAUUGGAUCCUGAAAGUUGUAAUGAUAACCCAUUUUGAAAUUGUUUUGAGCCUUUUAUAUCAUUCUCUCUAACCCAUCCAAAAGCCUACAUUACGGUCCAAAGAAAGACCAUCUGAUCAAUUUUUGAGAAAAUGCCAUGUCGAGCAGGGAAAUGUGAUUCGCAAUAGGGGCAACCCUUUGGUCCAAGCCAGAAAGUAGAAAAUGAAAUGAGAGAGUCUUAGUGGUGAAAACCUUCAUGGGAACCCUAGGGUGAAAGGGAGUUUGAGAAGCGGCAAACUGAGAAAGGUCCGUUGGUGAAAUACUGUUCGCUGCAUCGUAGGAUAAAUGAGGUUAAGGUUAGGGUAAAGUAAUCAAGUGAUGGAAGUUCUGGGAAAUGAAGUAUGACAAUUGAAGAGCUGUUUAGUUGGAUCGGUUGGGCCGAUUAAUCCGAAAUGCAUGUCGUGAUCACUAGUGCCAGCUGUUCCAGUCAGAUAAGUUUCUUUACUUUUCCUUUUCAACAAUCAUCUGGUUUUGGAUUCGUUUAUCCUUAACUCAUAAAAUUAUUUCAUUUCAUUCUCUGUCGGGGGUUUCAGUUUGUAAAAAAUGUUUCAAUGUCAGUUUUUUUAAAUGAAAGGGGAAAGGAUUUUAAAGCCCACUACCAACUUCCGAAAAUUGUAAAGCGUAAUGUGGCUAGAGCAUGUCAGCAACAAUGUGAUGCAAAGUGAAAUAAGGGAAGUCGCCAGAAGUUCCAUUGACAGAAUAUUUGGGAAGUGUUAUGGGAAAUGUGAAGGUUCAGGCAAAAGAGUCGGAAAGGUGAAACAAUAGUGGGAGUACAAAAGCAUUCAGGUUGUCAGAAAUUGGGAAAUGUGAAAGUCGGUCAGAAAGUCAGACAGUUCAGAGGAAGUUAGGCAACACAAAGCAAGGCAAUAGAAGGAUGAUGCACCAAAAGUGGCAUCAACUAACCACCAUUUUUAAUCUAACAAAAUUUUCUGGUGAUUGAAACAGGGGCAGAAAACUGUUUGGAAGGAGGAAUUCUCCGUGAAAGAAAAGCGGGCAGUAAUCAAGUUUGAUCGCAAGUGUGGCUAGAGGAAAAUUCAAGAAAACAAGGAGCGACUUGAAGAGAUGUUGAGGUCAGGAGCCCGCUUGAAAAACAGAGGAGUGCAUUUCGGUCUUUAAAUUUUAAAGUUACACUUUGGUCCUAUCGUUCAAGUUUUGGUUUCAAUCCUCAUUAGUAUGUGGUAAGAAGCCCCAGUUUCACCAAACUGGGGCAGAAAGUUCUCUUUGUUUUAUUUAUUUUUGUGAAAUCAGGAGUCCGCUUGGAGAACAGAGACAUACAAUUAAAAAUUUAGAAGUCAGGAGCCCGCCUGAAGAACAGAGGCAUGCAAUCCAAAUUUUAGCAAUCAGGAGCCCUCCUGAAGAACAUAGGUGAUACAAUUCAAGUUAAUAGUUUUAAAUCAAUUCCUUCGUUUAUUUUGGUAGUCAGGAGUUCGCCUGGAGAACAGAGACACAUGCUUCAAGUCAGAAGUCAGGAGUCCGCUUGAAGAAUAGAGACAUGCAUUUAGAAUUUUGGGAAGUCAGGAGUCUGCCUGCAGAACAGAGACAUAUGCUUCAAGUUAGCAGUCAGGAGUCCUUCUGAAGAAUAGAGACAUACAAUGCAAGUUUGGAGUCAGGAGCCUGCCUGAAAAAUAGAGGUGAUAUAAUUCCAAUUUUAGUUUUCAAUCAAUUUUCUUGUUUAUUUUGAAGUCAGGAGUCCGCCUGGAGAACAGAGACAUACAAUUCUAAUUUCAUAAGUCAGGAGUCCGCCUGUAGAAUAGAGACAUGCAUUUAGAAUUCUGGAAGUCAGGAGUCCAUUUGGAGAAUAUUGACAUGCAAUUGGAAUUUUGGAAGUCAAGAGAAAAGAGACAUACAGUGCAAAUUUUAGAAGUCAGGACCCCGCCAGGAUAAUAGAGGAAUACAUUCUAUUUCAAGUUCAGUAGUUAGGAGUCCGCCUGGAGAAUAGAGACAUACAAUUCAAAUUUUAGCAGUCAGGAGCCUGCCUGGAGAAUGGAGGUGUUAAAUUUUAUGUUGAUGUUGAAGUCAGGAGCCCACCUGAGAACAAAGGUAUAUGAUUCAAGCUUCGAAAUCAGGAGCCCGCCUGUAUAACAGAGGUAUUUCAAGUUAAGUUUUAGUCAAAAUUCUUAUUUAUAUAUGGUAACAAGCACCCACUUUUCCAAACUGGGGCAGAAAGUUUUCUUUGUUUUGUCUAUUUUCAUGUAGUCAGGAGCCCUCCUGGAUAAUAGAGGAACACAGUCAGGUUCAAGUGCAGCAAUCAGGAGCCCGCCUGGACAACAGAGGAAUACAGUCAAGUUCAAGUUUAUUCAAGUUCAGCAAUUUGCAGGGAAGGAACAACACCUCUGUUCAUGAUUUGAAGUAAAACCAAGGAAUUUCACCAAGGGAACACACGACAACAAGGAAGUGCAAGAGCAAGUUUGAAGAUUUAGAUAGGACUUUUUGUAAUUCAUAGUUCAUAGCAUAAGCUAGCUUCUUUUAUUUUCGACAUGGUGUAAUAAGGAAGGUCAGCGAGCAGCAGCAGCAGCAGCAAGCGCAGUGAAAUCACAGCUCCUGGUAGUCCAAGCUACCAGACACUCCCGAACUACACUGACCAGAUUCCUGUUUAGCCCAGGAUAUGUAGGCAUUAUUUGAAGCAGGGUGCGGUCAAAACUUUUCAAUAUGCUUCACAACUGAAUAUUUGAACAGGCAAAAAUCGCUCGUAUUUGAUCACUUAUCUUUGCCCGAAAACAUUUCAUGUUUCCGAGCAAAGAGGGCCAGCUGUGAGCACAUGAUUUUUGCCCUAUAUAUGAAUUAUUCCCACAAAAUUCAAACAAAAGAUUUUUCUUUAUUUUUACAAUUUUUUGUGAAUUUUGGUGUCAUUUUGUGUUAAGUGUUUGCAUUUUAUUUGUGCAUGUUAAUUCAUAUGAAAUACAAAAUACGCAUUUGCAUUUAGGCUUUAAUAUUUUAGGAUUAGUUAGGUGUUAAUUUGUUUUGGCUCAAAAUAUGAAAAUUUAUGCAAAAUUAGUUCAUUUUGCAUUUUAGUUGUUAAUUGUUUAGUUUGUCGCGAAAUAGAUUUUAACAUAAUUUUAGGAAUUAAAUUAGUUUAAUUUUUGAAAUAAUUAGAUCUUUAUCUUUAUUUUUGUAUUGUGUAUAAAAAUCAGAAAAUAUGAAAAGAAUAUAAAAUGAAAAAAAAACACCAAAGGAAAUGAAGGGAAAACUAAUAGAAAAGAGAGAAAAGACGAGGGUCUUCUUAAAUUGGGCAAUUUUUAUUGCCAGCCCAAGUCUUCCCCCCCAAAACUACACCUGAACCGGCCCAAACAAAUUCCCAAACCAGUCCGAUUAUUAAUCAGCCAAACGAUGCCGUUUUCCAUAUGCAAUCCUAGCCCUCAAUUCUCGAUCUAACGGUCGAGAUUGUCCUAGGUUUCCCAUAUAAAGCUGUCCGAACAAACGCCCCCCACCCCUAUUUCCAGUCAUCUUCUCAAACAACGAACCCUAAUCCCUCCGCCACCAAAUCCCACCGCCCUAGGGUGGCGGCGCCACCUCUAAUCACCACCAAUAUUACACCCUUCGUCUUCCUCACUCUCCUCUUCUCAUCUAUGGCAAGGAUUUCUUUCGAAUCAAACCCUAGCUGUUCGAAU
rnacentral:lncRNA from 1 species